CUCCGCAGCAUCACAGCGUCUGGGAAUUUAACUUCGGUUUCUACAUCUUCUUUUUAAGUGGUUUCUGCUGGUGAGCGUCUCGGUGAUCUCAUGUCCCGCCCCCUAUUAAAGCAUCAUUACUGCAGCCUGCAUGCACACAUAACUGUAUUUCUUUGCCACAGGUCAUCCUGAUGUUGUCGUCUGUGUCUGGAUGAACGAUUGAGCCGGGAGUUGCUCUUUUUGCCCUGCAGCAUCUCACGCAGCCUCGUCAGACUUGUUUUGAUGAAUGCGUCAGGGUUGCAGAUAUAGAUCUGUCUGGGUGAUCGUCAGCCGAAAUAGACACAUGAGAGAGAAUCAGGAGACAGUAAAUAUGUGUCUUCAUGUGCAGUAUUUAUAGGAGUGUGUACUGAAGUAUGUGUAGUUAAUGUAUUUCUUUUUUUCAUCAAUCACAUUGAUCCUCCCACUAAUUCUCAUCCCAUAGAAAUGUCAAUCAGCGAGAGGGGAGGGGGAGUUCUUCACUACAGCGUUUCCUCUAUCUGGAGGAAGGUAAUGAAAGGGUAGCUUGAUGGCCACUGUUUCCAUGGCAACUACUUUAGAGCAACCUCUGCCCACAACAUCUCAAAAGAUCAGAUGGUGUUUUUAAAAUAACACAAGACGUGGCGGUGUUUAAAGCUGGAGGGGGAAGUCUUCCACCGAAGCAGCCAAAUGUGUGGGGAGUCGUUGCGUCCAGAACCGGGUUCUGUGUGUGGGGAGGCUUUAAUAGGAGCACAUGACUGCAAUGAGUCAUCACAGCGUAAGUCCAGGUAAACUUAGCACAAAUAAGCAGCUUGUGGUUCAGCUCUGCUGGACAGGACGACUCAGAAGAGCCACAAACAGACUCAGAGGGUGGAACGAGGGUCCGACGCCAUCUGAACCAGAACCUGCAGCUCAGCCAGCUACUGAGCACAGGGGCCUGGAGAGCUGCAGCUGCAGCCAGCGUGUCCGGGCCGCUCAUGGAAUCCUGCAGCUUCCCCUCGGUUCCGCUGUCUGAGGAGUCGUCCUCCAUGCUCUUAACAGAGGCAGUGAAACUGGGGCCGACUUCCUGUCGCUGAGCGGAGGGGCUCCACUGCACGCGGCGGCGCCGCGGGCUCCUCGCGGUCCCGUUUGCCAGCGUGCGUUUCCAUGGAGAUGCAGCCUGUUCACGCGCCCCUGCAGCUCGUGUCAUUGACUUCAAUUAGUGCAGGAGGCCGUCUUGUCUAAGUACAUACUUACGCAGACAGCAGGCCUUAAAGGACCGGGGAGAAUUGGCAGAGGAGAUCUGAGAGCGUGGGAUGCGUCGGGGAGAGGGGCUUCAUUCUGCCACAGAACAAAUGCAUGUGAACGUAAACAGCCUCCUCAUAGAGUAGUUCUUGUCGCCCCCUUGUGCCUUUGCAACUUUUACCUAUUGAAGUUUCAGAUGAGCUUCAUCGCGUUUCAGGCUUCUGUUUCAGGUCGACUCCAGUUUCCUACUGGCAAAGUGGCAAAGUGGGGAGAUGUGCCCUGAAGUGAUUCAACCUUGAUUAUCCCGACUCAUUACAGGAACACUCCCCGGCUGCACCUGUAAUUACCGUGAACAGGUGCAUCACUCAGCCACAUCCACAGAGUUGGUGGUUUAAUUCAGAGAUGCUGCCGGGACAUUAACCCGGCUAAUCACAUGUUCAGCCGCGGCGUGGAGCGCUGUGGACCUCUGGGUGCGGAGCAGCACACCUUCACCUUUUGGUCUGAAGGGAGCGUUCACACAGAGGACUGAAAACGGCGUGAUCACCGGGAGGAUGUGCUUCAUUAUAAGGAUUAACGAGAGUGAAUGGCGCAUUCUGUGGAAAUUCUGUGGAAAAAUUCUAUUCAGUUCAUUUAUAUACAACGAAGUGAGGUUCCUACCGAGCCGCUGAGCAGCACCAGAAGGCACCUCCAACAGAACCAGGCUGAAGGUGUAUAGCUGCAAUACUUCCUUAACAUUUAGCUUGUAGCAAUACGUUUAUUUAAACAUACAGGACUGUAAAUUCUCCGUGCACAGCAUCAUGUGACGCUUCAUGAGAGCCAGUAAGAAUCUGUCUGCUCUCGCUUUGUUCCUCACACAGUUUGCGAACACUGUGGCAUCUUUUCAUUUCUUGUGCAUCUGCGUCAGAGUUCUGUGUUUUUUCAUGUUUCAUCGGAGAACAGAAUAGGGCGAGAGCUCGCCUGUGAUCUUUUAUUCAUCUAUUCGUCCUCCUCUCCUCACUCCUCGCCUCCGCACCAGGGAGCUCAGCAUCUGACAGGCCUCACCGAAAACCACCAGCUGGAGUGACAACGAGAGGAGGAGGAGACGCCUCCACCCAUGUUGUCCCUCAUUGUCUGGAAACAUCUGGACGACACAUCAUCUGAAAACAGCUGAACGGCGUCUGAACUUCACACCGAGCAGCAAAGUCGCAGCCAAAGGCUGCAAUUACAUCAGCACGCUCCGAGAAGCUGCCGUGUGCCGAGCAUUAAAGGCCGCCGAGCUUCGGAACAACAAAAUGGAGGCCGUCUCAGACUGACACCUCCGGAGACAACGGCGCUGGUGUUAAAACGAAGGGACCCAGCGCGGCUCCAACCAGUUGGGUGCCAGGGACGCGUCUGCUUGGAAGCAUGAAUGAAUGAGAAUGAACAAGAAAACUCAGGAAGCUCCACCCAAUGAGACCGUUUAAACGCAGGGACGACGGGGGCUCAUAACAGAGGAGCCGUGUGCUCGUCUCACCACCUGCCACUGAGAAACGUUAGCUUCUGCCGCCUGCUCAGAGACUGGUCAGCGUUGAAAAGUCCUGCAAAACUUCGCUGACGCCAAAUACA